GAAACUUAGGAUUAAAUUAAACCGAAG
rnacentral:tRNA from 1 species